CCGUAUUUUAUGAGAUGUUUAAGUUUUCGUGAAACAGGUCCAGAGCGAACUCUGGAUCCCCUGUUCUGAAUUUGGAAAUUCAUUAUAAAUAAACCAGAGAUAAUUAGAAGUCAUACCAUAUAUGUAUAGAUUCCUUUUCGAGUCUAGUUUCUUUAGAAACAAACGAAAUAAGUAUUGAAGCCCUGUACAAGGACAUAUCUAAGUCGUAAUGCAUGAAGGUCAGAGUAGUCG
rnacentral:lncRNA from 1 species